UUGUAGUGUAUAGUAAUCAACAAUGGUAUCGUUGUCGAAUUUGAAAGCUGUGCAUUAUAAAAUUUCGCUUUCUAUUGAGAAUUCCGCAUAGAGGAAAUUAGCGGGAGAAUGUGAGUAGGAAUGAGUCAGGUGCGCGACGUCACUGGCCUGAGUCACGGCGGUGACGUCGGCACCCACUCGCCGCUGCCGCCGCGCAGCUGCCUGCCCUCACAUCAUAGUGUCGACGAUCUACCGUAGAUUAUUUAUGCUGCGACGCCCACAGGCCGGUUGGGCUCCAGCGCCUCCGCUUCCGGCAGCCCUCACAUUGCGGUGUCGCAAGCGUUUCUUUUGCUCCUGCCGUCGUCGUCGCCGUCGCUAUUAUAAUAGGGAUAGCUUUAUGACUCAGACUUCAAGCUCCACUAACGAGUCGAACUUACGCAGAGUUGACAAAAGAGAAUUUUGUGAGGGAGGCCGAGCGCGUUUUGGACAUCCGUAAUGGCGGCGGCGGCAAGUCUCUGCAACGCAAAGCCGUCGGGACGUGCAGGUCGGCACUCGCCGCUCGGGAAUCAGUCCCACGAUAACGCAUUGAAGGGUCGCUCCAUAAAAAGCGAUCAUUAUAAAGGACGUAAAGACCGCACCGGCGCCGAGCCUUCCCAGAACUGGGCCCAUUCUUAUUUCGCGCUCCCGCCUUAUUCACGGGGAUUUUUUGUUCGUUUUUGGUUAUAUUUUUUGUGUUGCGCGAGCGGCGCUUUCGUGAGAGCUUCGAGGAAACGGCUUAUUGGGUUUCGUACAGGAGAUGGGGCUUAUCUCGAGGCGUCGAUCGGCGCGUCGGCCUGGGAACGUUACGCUCGGAGCUCGCAGGACCGUUAGCCGCAUUCCACCGCCGCUUCGUCGCCGCGCCGGCGCCGCAACACCCUUGUGUCGUUAGGUUCACCGGGACGCGGUCGUGACGCGCUAGAGAAAAACGAAAUCUGCAUGGCCUGCAAACAUCUAACGACGUGACAGAUGUUUUUUGCGAUGACAAAGAUCCUACAUAGAGAGGCGUAAAGAAGCGGCCAACCGACCGUCAACUAUGAGCCCGACACCGUCGCGAACCCGCCGGGCACCACUGCGCCAACUUACAAGAGCGCUGCGAGGCAGCGACACGCGGCCUGAGUCAGCAUGAUGUCAUGCAUGCGGGGCGCGAGGGGCGGCUUCUAAUGGAGCAUCCCGCCAGUGUCACGUCACGUCCCAUUCCCGCCGCAUACUUCAACCAAUCGAGCGAUGACAAAUCCAUUCAUAUUCCUAUAUCCUAUUGUGCCCACAUACUUGUUUAGACUCUUACACUAGUUAUAAGCAAUGUUUAUCGCUGUCUCAGCUAGCAUUGUUUGAAUUUUAAUUUAUUAGUAAUAAGUUACUUAUAGAGCCAUGAAAUGUGAAAAAGAAGAAACUCACGAAGAGAGAAGAAAGAUGGAAUAACGAAACUGGUUUUCAUAAUGAUUUGACAGAUUGUUCAAAUUCUGAGAUCAUUGUGAAAGCUAUUUUUUUGUUCCUGUCUCAACAGAUGAAGAUACUAACGCACUCUUCGACAUGAAAACAACAACAACAAGCAACCAAUUAAAAUUAUAAAUAACAUUUCUGUUAUCGUUUGUGACUCUUACUCAUAGAAAUAUCCAUUUAUUGUUUAAUAAUUCGCAAAUGGAUACUUUUAUAAAAUUUUGCAUGAAAGCGCAUAAAAUUGGCUUUGUUUUGUUUAUUGUUAUACUUUUAAUUAACUAGAACUGUGGAAAUAUUAUAUUUGUUUCUUUGUAAGCGUAUGCAAAUGCAUAGUAAACAAAUACUUUCCAGUUAGGCGCCAGCACAAAUAUCACAGACGAUGGAAAAACACUCAGGCGUUUGAAAUAAUUUCUAAUAUUUCAUAAUGUGCUAGCGUUAAGUACCUCCUACAUUUUAUAAAUAACUAAAUAUCCUCUUUAUUUAUUUCUCGAUUCUAGAUCGAGUAUAAUAACCGACAGAAAGCUAUGAGCGAAAUAUUGUACAUAAUAAAUUGAAAGCUGUUAGAAUAUUAAAUGUUCACAGUUUUAUGUUAUACAAGC